GACAGAGGGUGCAAACGUUGUUCGGAAUUACUGGGCGUAAAGCGUGCGUAGUCGGCCAUUUAAGUCGGGUGUGAAAUCCCCGGGCUCAACCUGGGAAUUGCAUUCGAUACUGGAUGGCUAGAGUUCGGCAGAGGGAAGCGGAAUUUCCGGUGUAGCGGUGAAAUGCGUAGAUAUCGGAAGGAACAUCAGUGGCGAAAGCGGCUUCCUGGACCAGAACUGACGAUCAGGCACGAAAGCGUGGGGAGCAAACAGG
rnacentral:rRNA from 1 species